rfam:Gossypium hirsutum cultivar TM-1 chromosome 2, whole genome shotgun sequence
AUCCCAUGAUGAGGACACUUACAAAAUAAUUCAUUGAAUCUUUCCCACACCUCGUAUAAGGACUCGUCAUCCAAUUAUUGAAAAGUAGUAAUCUCAUUUCGCAACUU